rnacentral:rRNA from 1 species
GACGAACGCUGGCGGCGUGCCUAAAACAUGCAAGUCGAACGGUGUAGCAAUACACAGUGGCGAACGGCGGAGUAAUACAUAAGCAACGUGCCCUGAAGACUGGGAUAGUCAGAGGAAACUCUGGGUAAUACCAGAUGUGGUCCCUUUCCGGCAUCGGAGAGUGAUUAAAUGGUUUUUCGCUUCUGGAGCGGCUUAUGGCCUAUCAGGUAGUUGGUGAGGUAACGGCUCACCAAGCCGACGACGGGUAGCGGGUCUGAGAGGAUGAUCCGCUCGAGGUGGGACUGAGACACGGCCCACACACCUACGGGUGGCAGCAGUUGGGAAUCUUGCACAAUGGGGAAACCCUGAUGCAGCGACGCCGCGUGGAGGAUGAAGGAUCUAGGUCCGUAAACUCCUUUUCAGGGAAAGACUUAGGACGGUACCCUGAGAAUAAGGACCGGCUAACUACGUGCCAGCCGCCGCCGU